AUUGAACGCUGGCGGCAGGCUUAACACAUGCAAGUCGAGCGGGGGAAGGUAGCUUGCUACCGGACCUAGCGGCGGACGGGUGAGUAAUGCUUAGGAAUCUGCCUAUUAGUGGGGGACAACAUCUCGAAAGGGAUGCUAAUACCGCAUACGUCCUACGGGAGAAAGCAGGGGAUCUUCGGACCUUGCGCUAAUAGAUGAGCCUAAGUCGGAUUAGCUAGUUGGUGGGGUAAAGGCCUACCAAGGCGACGAUCUGUAGCGGGUCUGAGAGGAUGAUCCGCCAGACUGGGGCGGGGACAAGGCCCAGACUUGUACGGGAGGCAGCAGUGGGGAAUAUUGGACAGUGGGGGGAACCCUGAUCCAGCCAUGCCGCGUGUGUGAAGAAGGCCUUAUGGUUGUAAAGCACUUUAAGCGGGGAGGAGGCUACUUUAGUUAAUACCUAGAGAUAGUGGACGUUACUCGCAGAAUAAGCACCGGCUAACUCUGUGCCAGCAGCCGCCGCAG
rnacentral:rRNA from 1 species